rnacentral:tRNA from 1 species
GGCCCUGUGGCGCAAUGGAUAGCGCGUUGGACUUCUAAUUCAAAGGUUGUGGGUUCAAGUCCCACCGGGGUCA